GGGUGCAAUCAUGCCAGCACUAAUGCACCGGAUCCCAUCAGAACUCCAUAGUUAAGCAUGCUUGGAUGAGAGUAGUACUAGGAUGGGUGACCCCUUGGGAAGUCCUCGUGUUGCAUCCC